GUACACUCCUGCGGGAGGCAGCAGUGGGGAAUUUUGGACAAUGGGCGAAAGCCUGAUCCAGCCAUGCCGCGUGCAGGAUGAAGGCCUUCGGGUUGUAAACUGCUUUUGUACGGAACGAAACGGCCUUUUCUAAUAAAGAGGGCUAAUGACGGUACCGUAAGAAUAAGCACCGGCUAACUACGUGCCAGCAGCCGCGGUAAUACGUAGGGUGCAAGCGUUAAUCGGAAUUACUGGGCGUAAAGCGUGCGCAGGCGGUUAUGUAAGACAGUUGUGAAAUCCCCGGGCUCAACCUGGGAACUGCAUCUGUGACUGCAUAGCUAGAGUACGGUAGAGGGGGAUGGAAUUCCGCGUGUAGCAGUGAAAUGCGUAGAUAUGCGGAGGAACACCGAUGGCGAAGGCAAUCCCCUGGACCUGUACUGACGCUCAUGCACGAAAGCGUGGGGAGCAAACAGGAUUAGAUACCCCAGUAGUCCCA
rnacentral:rRNA from 1 species